rnacentral:tRNA from 1 species
GCCGGAAUGGUGGAAUGGCAGACACUGACGUCUCAAAAGCGUCUGCUCGAAAGAGCGUGCGGGUUCGAAUCCCGCUUCCGGCACC